rnacentral:rRNA from 1 species
ACAUGCCUACAACAUAGCGUUAAUGCCCCAGAUCCCAUUAGAACUCUGCAGUUAAGCGUGCUUAGGCUACUAGAGUAGUAUUGGGGUGGGUGAUCGCUCAGGAAGUCCUAGUGUUUUACAUGCC